rnacentral:rRNA from 1 species
AAACAUGUCUUUUUGCUAUUAAAUAUAAAAAGUCAAACUCUGCCCAGUGAAAAAUUCAACGGCCGCAGUACCCUGACUGUGCAAAGGUAGCAUAAUAAUUUGCCUUUUAAUUAAAGGCCGGAAUCAACGGUUGAACGAGAUUUACACUGUCUCUUUUUAAAUAUAUAAAAAUUAAGCUUUAGGUUAAAACGCCUAAAUAUUAUUAAAAGACGAGAAGACCCUAUUGAGCUUUAAUAUAAAUUUAGAUCAAUUAAUAUUUAUAUAUAAAAACUAAAUUAAAUUUUGAUUGGGGCGAUCAAGGAUUACAUAAAACAUCCUUUUAAAAUUAAUAAACAAAUAUGUUAAGAUCCAUUAUUGCUAAAAAACUAAGAUACCAUAGGGAUAACAGCAUAAUUUCUUUUAAGAGUUCUUAUUAAAAAAGAAGAUUAUGACCUCGAUGUUGGACUAGAAUUUCCUAAAGAUGCAACAGUCUUUAAGGUUGGUCUGUUCGACCAUUAAAAUUCUACAUGAUCUGA